CCUACGGGGGGCAGCAGUGGGGAAUAUUGCACAAUGGGGGAAACCCUGAUGCAGCGACGCCGCGUGAGUGAAGAAGUAUCUCGGUAUGUAAAGCUCUAUCAGCAGGGAAGAAAAUGACGGUACCUGAUUAAGAAGCCCCGGCUAACUACGUGCCAGCAGCCGCGGUAAUACGUAGGGGGCAAGCGUUAUCCGGAUUUACUGGGUGUAAAGGGAGCGUAGACGGCAGCGCAAGUCUGAAGUGAAAUGCCGGGGCUUAACCCCGGAACUGCUUUGGAAACUGUGCAGCUAGAGUGCAGGAGAGGUAAGUGGAAUUCCUAGUGUAGCGGUGAAAUGCGUAGAUAUUAGGAGGAACACCAGUGGCGAAGGCGGCUUACUGGACUGUAACUGACGUUGAGGCUCGAAGGCGUGGGGAGCGAACAGGAUUAGAUACCCUUGUAGUC
rnacentral:rRNA from 1 species